AACGAACGCUGGCGGCAGGCUUAACACAUGCAAGUCGAGCGCCCCGCCAGGGGAGCGGCAGACGGGUGAGUAACGCGUGGGAACGUACCUUUUGGUUCGGAACAACUCCGGGAAACUGGAGCUAAUACCGGAUAAGCCCUAACGGGGAAAGAUUUAUCGCCGAAAGAUCGGCCCGCGUCUGAUUAGCUAGUUGGUGAGGUAACGGCUCACCAAGGCGACGAUCAGUAGCUGGUCUGAGAGGAUGAUCAGCCACUCUGAGACUGAGACACGGCCCAGACUCCUGCGGGAGGAAGCAGUGGGGAAUAUUGGACAAUGGGCGCAAGCCUGAUCCAGCCAUGCCGCGUGAGUGAUGAAGGCCUUAGGGUUGUAAAGCUCUUUUGUCCGGGAAGAUAAUGACUGUACCGGAAGAAUAAGCCCCGGCUAACUUCGUG
rnacentral:rRNA from 1 species